GAUGAACGCUGGCGGCGUGCCUAAUACAUGCAAGUCGAGCGAAUGGAUUGAGAGCUCGCUCUUAUGAAGUUAGCGGCGGACGGGUGAGUAACACGUGGGUAACCUGCCCAUAAGACUGGGAUAACUCCGGGAAACCGGGGCUAAUACCGGAUAACAUUUUGAACCGCACGGUUCGAAAUUGAAAGGCGGCUUCGGCUGUCACUUAUGGAUGGACCCGCGUCGCAUUAGCUAGUUGGUGAGGUAACGGCUCACCAAGGCAACGAUGCGUAGCCGACCGGGGAGGGUGAUCGGCCGCACUGGGACUGAGACACGGCCCAGACUCCUACGGGAGGCAGCAGUAGGGAAUCUUCCGCAAUGGACGAAAGUCUGACGGAGCAACGCCGCGUGAGUGAUGAAGGCUUUCGGGUCGUAAAACUCUGUUGUUAGGGAAGAACAAGUGCUAGUUGAAUAAGCUGGCACCUUGACGGUACCUAACCAGAAAGCCACGGCUAACUACGUGCCAGCCGCCGCGGUAA
rnacentral:rRNA from 1 species